AGUGAACGCUGGCGGUAGGCCUAACACAUGCAAGUCGAACGGCAGCACAGUAAGAGCUUGCUCUUACGGGUGGCGAGUGGCGGACGGGCGAGGAAUGCAUCGGAAUCUACUUUUUCGUGGGGGAUAACGUAGGGAAACUUACGCUAAUACCGCAUACGACCUACGGGUGAAAGCAGGGGCUCUUCGGACCUUGCGCGAUUGAAUGAGCCGAUGUCGGAUUAGCUAGUUGGCGGGGUAAAGGCCCACCAAGGCGACGAUCCGUAGCUGGUCUGAGAGGAUGAUCAGCCACACUGGAACUGAGACACGGUCCAGACUCCUACGGGAGGCAGCAGUGGGGAAUAUUGGACAAUGGGCGCAAGCCUGAUCCAGCCAUACCGCGUGGGUGAAGAAGGCCUUCGGGUUGUAAAGCCCUUUUGUUGGGAAAGAAAAGCAGCAGGUUAAUACCCCGCUGUUCUGACGGUACCCUAAGAAUAAGCACCGGCUAACUUCGUG
rnacentral:rRNA from 1 species